AACGAACGCUGGCGGCAGGCUUAACACAUGCAAGUCGAGCGCAUCCUUCGGGGUGAGCGGCGGACGGGUGAGUAACGCGUGGGAACGUGCCCUCUUCUACGGAAUAGCCUCGGGAAACUGAGAGUAAUGCCGUAUACGCCCGCCAGGGGAAAGAUUUAUCGGAGGAGGAUCGGCCCGCGUUGGAUUAGGUAGUUGGUGGGGUAACGGCCUACCAAGCCGACGAUCCAUAGCUGGUUUGAGAGGAUGAUCAGCCACACUGGGACUGAGACACGGCCCAGACUCCUACGGGAGGCAGCAGUGGGGAAUCUUGGACAAUGGGGGCAACCCUGAUCCAGCCAUGCCGCGUGAUCGAUGAAGGCCUUAGGGUUGUAAAGAUCUUUCAGCUGGGAAGAUAAUGACGGUACCAGCAGAAGAAGCCCCGGCUAACUCCGUG
rnacentral:rRNA from 1 species